CUUGAAUAACUAUAAGAGGUCCAGCCUGCCCAGUGACUUUGUUCAACGGCCGCGGUAUCCUAACCGUGCGAAGGUAGCGUAAUCACUUGUCUUUUAAAUGGGGACUUGUAUGAAUGGCAUCACGAAGGUUAUACUGUCUCCUUUUUCUAAUCAGUGAAACUAAUCUUCCCGUGAAGAAGCGGGGAUAAACAUAUAAGACGAGAAGACCCUAUGGAGCUUUAAACUCAAUAACAAACACUAACCUUACAUCAACUUUCAGAAGAUUCACCUUAAUUUUAGUAUUAUGAUUAUUAGUUUUAGGUUGGGGUGACCGCGGAGUAAAAAUUAACCUCCACAUUGAACGGGACCUGUCCCUGAGCCAAGAACUACAGCUCAAAGCACCAACAAAUUGACAUUAAUUGACCCAAUAUUUUGAUCAACGAAC
rnacentral:rRNA from 1 species